CGAACGCUGGCGGCGUGCCUAACACAUGCAAGUCGAACGGUAAGGCUCCAGCUUGCUGGGGUACACGAGUGGCGAACGGGUGAGUAACACGUGGGUGACCUGCCCUGCACUUCGGGAUAAGCCUGGGAAACUGGGUCUAAUACCGGAUAGGACCAUGGUGUGGAUACUGUGGUGGAAAGUUUUUUCGGUGUGGGAUGGGCCCGCGGCCUAUCAGCUUGUUGGUGGGGUAAUGGCCUACCAAGGCGGCGACGGGUAGCCGGCCUGAGAGGGUGGACGGCCACAUUGGGACUGAGACACGGCCCAGACUCCUACGGGAGGCAGCAGUGGGGAAUAUUGCACAAUGGGCGGAAGCCUGAUGCAGCGACGCCGCGUGGGGGAUGACGGCCUUCGGGUUGUAAACUCCUUUCACCAUCGACGAAGGGUUUCUGACGGUAGAUGGAGAAGAAGCACCGGCUAACUACGUG
rnacentral:rRNA from 1 species